rnacentral:rRNA from 1 species
UGCGUAGGCGGCCUGUUAAGUCAGGGGUGAAAGACGGUAGCUCAACUAUCGCAGUGCCCUUGAUACUGACGGGCUUGAAUAGACUAGAGGUAGGCGGAAUGAGACAAGUAGCGGUGAAAUGCAUAGAUAUGUCUCAGAACACCGAUUGCGAAGGCAGCUUACUAUGGUCUGAUUGACGCUGAGGCACGAAAGCGUGGGGAUCAAACAGGAUUAGAUACCCGCGUA